CUCCGACCGCGUCUGUCUUCACCUCCGUGAAGCCGUCGAUGCAUACAUCUUGUGAAGCCCGGUCGCCGCGUCAGAUCGUCGAUCGAUUUUGAGGCAGCCGCCACGUCUCCUUUGGCCGACCGCUGACCGACCCACACUUAGGAUUUUUGCUGCGAGUUCGACAGUCGUGCGUUGAGGUGUUGGGAGUAACGUUGGGCUCCCUUAAAUUCACAACCAAUAUAUGAAUUGUUGAGGGUUCAGUUCGCCAAUACUUCGGAUUGUUUCGAGGACGUUAGUUGAUUAAGGAGCUUCCCUAACUUUGAGGUAAGGGAUUUUCUACUGGACUCACUUAUGAUUGUGAAUUGUAUGUCUGUAUGAUUGUCUCUGACUGAGUAAAGAUGUUGAGAUGAUAUAUAUAUAUACACGUAUGGAUGUAGAUUCGGUGUUGAAUGUAUACUGUGGAUUGACUGAAAA